rnacentral:rRNA from 1 species
GAUGAACGCUGGCGGCGUGCCUAAUACAUGCAAGUCGAGCGAACGGACGAGAAGCUUGCUUCUCUGAUGUUAGCGGCGGACGGGUGAGUAACACGUGGAUAACCUACCUAUAAGACUGGGAUAACUUCGGGAAACCGGAGCUAAUACCGGAUAAUAUUUUGAACCGCAUGGUUCAAAAGUGAAAGACGGUCUUGCUGUCACUUAUAGAUGGAUCCGCGCUGCAUUAGCUAGUUGGUAAGGUAACGGCUUACCAAGGCAACGAUGCAUAGCCGACCUGAGAGGGUGAUCAGCCACACUGGAACUGAGACACGGUCCAGACUCCUACGGGAGGCAGCAGUAGGGAAUCUUCCGCAAUGGGCGAAAGCCUGACGGAGCAACGCCGCGUGAGUGAUGAAGGUCUUCGGAUCGUAAAACGCUGUUAUUAGGGAAGAACAUAUGUGUAAGUAACUGUGCACAUCUUGACGGUACCUAAUCAGAAAGCCACGGCUAACUACGUG